GCGUCAGUGGUGUAAUGAUUAGCAUUGUUGCCUUCCAAGCAAUAGACGGGGGUUUGAUUCCCCCCUGACGCA